CAGUAGCCACGGUAAUACGGAGGGUGCAAGCGUUAAUCGGAAUUACUGGGCGUAAAGCGCACGCAGGCGGUCUGACAAGUCAGAUGUGAAAUCCCCGGGCUUAACCUGGGAACUGCAUUUGAAACUGUCAGGCUGGAGUCUUGUAGAGGGGGGUAGAAUUCCAGGUGUAGCGGUGAAAUGCGUAGAGAUCUGGAGGAAUACCGGUGGCGAAGGCGGCCCCCUGGACAAAGACUGACGCUCAGGUGCGAAAGCGUGGGGAGCAAACAGGAUUAGAUACCCCAGUAGUCCCUGUCUCUUAUAA
rnacentral:rRNA from 1 species